rnacentral:lncRNA from 1 species
AUCAAGGAUGCCUGAGGGGAUUUGAGUCCUACAGGCUCAGCACUUAUGAAAAAGGAUAAAGUCCUUCCCAGCCUGGCAGGAGAAGGAAAAGCCUGUGGUGGGGGAAGGGAGUGAAGGCGUGUGCCUCCUCAUGGAACACAGGGUCGGAGUCGGCUAGGAGGGAUAAGAGUACAAUAGAGGGUUGUGUGACACAGACAGGCUGCCAGCCCUCAGCAUGGACCCGGCACAUGGAAUCUGUGAUCUUAAAAGAGUCAAGUGACUACCUUUGGCAACCAAAAGAGACACUGCCUUUUAGAAGGCAUAUCAUCUGAAACUGGCUGAAAGAGCUGUCUUACUUAGGAAGAAAAAUCUCUCCUUUGGAAAGAGCUGGAACUUUUAGUAAAACUGAACAGUGAGGUGGCGGAAGAUGGGAAACACUCAGACAUCAACAGGCUCACCCUUGAAAUGCAUCCUAAGCCAUUGGGACCAAUUUGAUCUGCAAACCCUGAAAAAGAGGAUCGAGGCUAUCAAGCUACAGAUGAUCUUACAAAUGGAACCCCAAAUGAGCUCAACUAACAACUACCAAGGACCCCUGGACCAACCCGCUGGCCCUUUCAAUGGCCUAAAGAGUUCCCCUCUGGAGGACACUACAACUGCAGGGUCCUUUCUUUGCCCCUAUCCAGCAGGAAGUAGCUAGAGUGGUCAUCACCCAAUUCCCAACAGCAGUUGGGGUGUCUUGUUAAGUGGGGAGAUUGAGAGGUGAAGCCAGCUGGGCUUCUGGGUUGGGUGGGGACUUGGAGAACUUUUCUGUCUAGCUAGAGGAUUGUAAACACACCAAUCAGUGCUAUGUGUCUAGCUAGAGGUUUGUAAAUGCACCAAUCAGCACUCUGUAAAAACGGACCAAUCAGCACUCUGUAAAAUGGACCAAUCAGUAGGAUGCGGGCAGGGCCAAAUAAGGGAAUAAAAGCUGGCCACCUGAGUCAGCAGUGGCAACCCACUCGGGUCCCCUUCCAUGCUGUGGAAGCUUUGUUCUUUCACUCUUCACAAUAAAUCUUGCUGCUGCUCACUCUUUGGGUCCACACCACCUUUAUGAGCUGCAACACUCACUGCGAAGGUCUUCAGCUUCACUCCUGAAGUCAGCGAGACCACGAACCCAUGGGGAGGAACAAUCGACUUCAGACAUGCCACCUUUAAGAGCUGUAACACUCACUGCGAAGGUCUGUGGCUUCACUCCUGAAGUCAGCAAGACCACGAACCCACUGGAAGGAAGAAAUUUCGGACACAUCUGAACAUCUGAAUGAACAAACUCUGGACACGCCAUCUUUAAGAACUGUAACACUCACUGUGAGGGUUCAUGGGUUCAUUCUUGAAGUCAGCAAGACCAAGAACCCACCAGAAGGAACCAAUUCCGGACACAGACUCACUGCAACCUCCACCUCCUGGAUUCAAGUGAUUCUCCUGCCUCAGCCUCCGGAGUAGCUGUGCCUACAGGCACAAGCCACCACACACGGCUAAUUUUUUGUAUUUUUAGUAGAGAUGGGGUUUCACCAUGUUGCUCAGGCUGGUCUCCAACUCCUGAGCUCAAGUGAUCCACCUGUCUCGGCCUCCCAAAGUGUUGGGAUACAUGUGUGAGCCACUGUGCCCGGCCUCCUCUGGAUUAGUUCUUACAGGAAUAGAUUAGUUCUUGCUCGAGCAAGUUGUUAUAAAAGUGAGGUUGCCUCUAGUGUUUUGCAUCCUCACAUAUGUCUGCUUACCUCUUGACCUCUCUCUGUGUUAUGACCCAGCACAAAAGCCCUUACCAGAAGCCAAGCAGAUGCUGAUGCCACACCCCUUGGACUUCUCAGUCUACAGAGCCAUGAAACGAAUAAACCUCUCUUUAUAAAUUAUCCAGCUUCAGGUAUUCUGUUAUAGCAACACAAAAUGGACGAAGACAACUACCUUAUCAUAAUAAUACUAUGAUAGUCAAAAUAGAUAAUGUCUGUUAAAAUGCUUAAACAGUUUACACACGUUAUUUUUACCUCAUUAGAGUGAUUUAUUAUUCAUUAAUAUGUAGAGCAGCAUUAAGGUAUAACAACAUAAACAUUGAGAUCAUUAAUCAAGGGUCCUGAGAUUCUACUCUUGUUCUCCAUAAAUUAGCUGAGUAAAUAUGGUAAGUCAUUUAACAUUUGGGCUUCAGGUUUCUUAAUCUAUAAAAAUGACAAAGUAUCAUUUAGAACCUUCUAGCUAGGAAAUAUAUCAUUUUGUGAUCUCCUAAAUCUAGUUUUUUUCUCACAUACUGGCUCUAAUUUUUUGAGAUAGGAUCUUGCUCUGUUGCCCAGACUGGAGUGCAGUGGCAUGAACAUGGCUCACUGCAGCCUUAACCUCCUGGGCUCCAGUGAUCCUCCUGCUUCAGCCACUCGAGUAGCUGGGACUACAGGCUCAUGUCACCACACCCAGCUAUUUAAGAACUUUUUUUUGUAGAGGCAGGGUCUCCCUGUGUUGCCCAGCCUGAUCUCAAACUCCUGGGAUGAAGUGAUCCUCCUGCUUGGGACUCUCAAAGUGCUGGGAUUGCAGGUGUGAGCCACCAUACCCAGACUUUAAGUUUUCUCUAUUAAGAGACUGUUGCAUUUUCCCCCUUUGCUCAUGCCUUGCUGAAUGAGUUGAGUGCACAUACAUGAUUAUUACAAAGUACAACAUGCUUAGGAAAAUCUGUGACAAAUAGAGGAAUCUUUUUUCUUUUGAAACUUUCACUUAUUUUGUUUUGUUUAGUUUUGAGUAGGCAAUGCAUUUACAUUGCCCAAAUUUAAAACACUAUCACAAGUCACACAAUGAGGAGUCCAACUUCCUACCUUACCUGUCUACCCUUUUUCCUGCUCCCAUUUUUUCCUAUCUAUCCUUCCAGUGUUUUUCUAUGCCAAGUUCAAAUGAUAUAAAUAUAAAUUUUCUUAUUUUCUCCCUUUUCCUGUUAGACAUUUCACUUUUUUCACUUAAUAGUAUAUUCUGGAAAUUACCAUACAUCAGUACACAGUGAGCCACCUUCUCUCUAGUUUUUUUUCAGCUUCAUAUUAUUCAAUUGUGGGGCAGAACCAUAGUUUAUUGAAUGAAUCUCCUAAAGAAGGACACUUGUUUCUAACAUUUUGCUAUUGCAGAAAAUGCUGCAAAUAAAUAACACUGUGCAGACUUCAUUUUAUAUUAUGUACAGGUGGAUCUGUAGAAUACAUUCCCAGAAGUGGGAACCCUAGGUUAAAGAGUAAAUUAAUUUGCGCAUUAAAAAAAUGUCAUAUUGGCCUUAACAAAAUUGAGACUAUUUUGCACAACUAGCAAUGUAUCAGAGUGCCUGUUUUCCAACAGCCUCACCAACACAAUGUGUUCAAAUGUUGAAUUUUUAAAUAAUCUGAUAGGAAAAAUGACAUGCAGAGUGAUUUUAAUUUGCGUGAAGAAGCUUUUAAAGAAAGAGUUGAGAAGUUGAAAUUUAAGGUGAGUUUUGAUAGAUUCUUCAAAGUGUCCCCCAAAUAGGAAGCUUCACAGUUAAUGUUUAAAACCUCUUGUAAAUAACAAUUGGCAUUGAAAGAAAGCAAAAUAUUACUUUGUAAUCCGAAGUAUAUUGUCAGCCAAGUUCAAGGAAGCUUGGUAAUUGCUCAAUCUUAAAUUACUCAAUCUUAAACCAGAGAGAUGAAGUGGUGCAUUCGUGACCACUGGCCUUGAACUGUUAACUCUCCCAGCGCUGUUAACAGGAGUUUCUUCAUUGUUGGGCUCUUAUCCAUCCUUCAUAUUAGUAAUUCCAAAUUAAUAACUGCAUAUUAAUAAACUCCAAAGGUGACAUUACACAUAUCUGAUGUCUUGAACAAAUAUCCUAGAGCAAAGUGGCAGAAACAAGAUGAGAAACAGAGCUGGAGGAAAUUUUGUUUUAUAUUGAGUCAAUUAAACUCCCUCUCUCCCUGUUUCUCUUUCUUUCUCUCUCUCUCUCUCUCCACAUGCACACACCAGCAGAAGCAUUUCUUUCAGAUUCAAA